GGGGAAACGAAGUGGGAAGGCUAAAACAGUCAGGAUGUUGGCUUAGAAGCAGCCAUCAUUUAAAGAAAGCGUAAUAGCUCACUGAUCGAGUCGUCCUGCGCGGAAGAUGUAACGGGGCUAAGCCAGUUACCGAAGCUGCGGAUUUGCAAUUUAUUGCAAGUGGUAGGAGAGCGUUCUGUAAGCCUGUGAAGGUGCGUUGUAAAGCGUGCUGGAGGUAUCAGAAGUGCGAAUGCUGACAUGAGUAGCGUUAAAAGCGGGUGAAAAGCCCGCUCGCCGUAAGCGCAAGGUUUUCUACGCAACGUUCAUCGGCGUAGAGUGAGUCGGCCCCUAAGGCGAGGCAGAGAUGCGUAGUUGAUGGGAAACAGGUCAAUAUUCCUGUACCGAUGUGUAGUGCGAUGUGGGGACGGAGAAGGUUAGCUCAGCCAACUGUUGGAUAUGUUGGUUCAAGCCUGUAGUCGUGCCUGGUAGGUAAAUCCGCCGGGCUUAGAUGA
rnacentral:rRNA from 1 species